UGGGGAAUAUUGCACAAUGGGGGAAACCCUGAUGCAGCGACGCCGCGUGAGUGAAGAAGUAUUUCGGUAUGUAAAGCUCUAUCAGCAGGGAAGAAAAUGACGGUACCUGACUAAGAAGCCCCGGCUAACUACGUGCCAGCAGCCGCGGUAAUACGUAGGGGGCAAGCGUUAUCCGGAUUUACUGGGUGUAAAGGGAGCGUAGACGGCAUGGCAAGUCUGAAGUGAAAACCCGAGGCUCAACCACGGGAUUGCUUUGGAAACUGUCAAGCUUGAGUGCCGGAGAGGUAAGCGGAAUUCCUAGUGUAGCGGUGAAAUGCGUAGAUAUUAGGAGGAACACCAGUGGCGAAGGCGGCUUACUGGACGGUAACUGACGUUGAGGCUCGAAAGCGUGGGGAGCAAACA
rnacentral:rRNA from 1 species